rnacentral:rRNA from 1 species
CGUAAAGGGCAUGCAGGCGGUCGGUCAAGUAGGAUGUGAAAGCCCCGGGCUCAACCUGGGAACUGCAUUCUAAACUGUCCGACUAGAGUAUUGCAGGGGGAGACGGAAUUCCAGGUGUAGCGGUGGAAUGCGUAGAUAUCUGGAAGAACACCAAAGGCGAAGGCAGUCUCCUGGGCAAAUACUGACGCUCAUAUGCGAAAGCGUGGGUAGCAAACAGGAUUAGAUACCCUGGUAGUCCACGCCGUAAACGAUGUCAAUUAGGAGCUUGAGCAAAAGUUUGGGUUCCGAAGCAAACGCGAUAAAUUGACCGCCUGGGGAGUACGGCCGCAAGGUUAAAACUCAAAUGAAUUGACGGGGGCCCGCACAAGCGGUGGAGCAUGUGGUUUAAUUCGACGCAACGCGAAGAACCUUACCUGACCUUGACAUCGUAGGAGCCUCUCUGAAGGGAGAGGGUGCCUUCGGGAACCUACAGACAGGUGCUGCAUGGCUGUCGUCAGCUCGUGUCGUGAGAUGUUGGGUUAAGUCCCGCAACGAGCGCAACCCUUGUCCUUUGUUGCCAGCGGGUAAAGCCGGGAACUCAAAGGAGACUGCCAGUGACAAACUGGAGGAAGGCAGGGAUGACGUCAAGUCAUCAUGGCCCUUACGGUCAGGGCUACACACGUGCUACAAUGGGGCGUACAGAGGGAAACGAUACCGCGAGGUGGAGUAGAGCCCAGAAAGCGUCCCUAAGUUCGGAUUGGAGUCUGCAACUCGACUCCAUGAAGUCGGAAUCG